GCAGGGUUAUCGAAGCGGUCAUAACGAGGCGGUCUUGAAAACCGUUUGACGUCAAGUCACGUGGGUUCGAAUCCCACACCCUGCG
rnacentral:tRNA from 1 species